GAUGAACGCUGGCGGCGUGCCUAAUACAUGCAAGUCGAGCGAACAGACGAGGAGCUUGCUCCUCUGACGUUAGCGGCGGACGGGUGAGUAACACGUGGAUAACCUACCUAUAAGACUGGGAUAACUUCGGGAAACCGGAGCUAAUACCGGAUAAUAUAUUGAACCGCAUGGUUCAAUAGUGAAAGACGGUUUUGCUGUCACUUAUAGAUGGAUCCGCGCCGCAUUAGCUAGUUGGUAAGGUAACGGCUUACCAAGGCAACGAUGCGUAGCCGACCUGAGAGGGGAGACGCCUACCUGGAGAGAGCGCACGGGUCCAGACUCCGGGGGGGGGCGCCGGUGGGGACUCUUCCGGAAUGGGGAAAGGCGGAACGUGGCACCGCGGGGGGAAGAUUGAGGGUGUUAGGUCGGAAGAACUUUGUUAUGGGGAAGAAACAAUUGUGUAAGUAACUGGCCACGUCUUGACGGUACCUAAUCAAAAAGCCCCGGCUAACUUCGUG
rnacentral:rRNA from 1 species